CGCCUCACUCCCGCAUUAUUCCCCCUUGUCUCCUCCUCUCCCACUCGCGCCGCUCCCUAUCCUCUUCCUCCUGCCCCGCCUCUCUCUCCCCCACCAAACCCUAGGCUGCGCCCGCCUCGCUGCCUCGCCGCCGGCCGCCGCCGCUCGCCCGGGUACCCAUCCAUGACCUCACGCCGCCCUCUCCUCUUCCCUCUCGGCCUGUUCGCGCUCACGGAGGCCAACGCGGGCGCGCUGCUCUGGGUGGCGCGCCGCCUCCGCUGCCGGCAGGAGGUGGCCGCGGCGGCCGCCGGCGCAGCCGGGCGACCAGGAGCUCCUCGGCGAGCAAUCGUUCCCCUACGAGAAGAAGGUGAGGAGGACACGCCCCUCCAUCAAGAGAUGGCCAAGGCGGCCGCGCCGCUCUGGGUGGAGGGUCGCCUCCGCCGCCGGCAGGAUUGGGCCGCGGCGGCCGUCGCACCCUCGCUCGCGCCUCCGCCCCGCGCCUCCCCCACGCCCAGCUCCUGCCUUGCCGCCGCCUCCUCUCCCCUCCCGCGCGCCUCCUCUCCCCUCCCCUCCCCUCCCCUUGUCGCCGCCUCCUCGGCCAAGGCGCCAAGCAGCAGCGAGCCCCGACAUCUCCGCCACCGCGCAGCACAGCGCCGAGCUCGCCGAGCUCCGUUGCGUCCUCUCCUCCCGCCGGAUUCGCCGCUCACGGCCACCAUCGCUCACCCGCGACCUUGCCCGUGGUUAGGGUUUCGGGUGUUCGUCACCGGUGGCCAUGGGGCUGCGCCUCCUCUCUGCAUCUGCAGAGGCAAGGAGCGGGGACGAGCCUCCUCCCAUUUACUCUGUGUGUGUGUGUGUGUUCAUCUGCUCGAGAACUGGAUCCCGAGGGGCAAAGGUGCAACCCUGCAGAGCCGCUUGAUCCCAAAAUUAAAGUUACUAUUGUUCAGAUGUGAUUGGCCUGGCAGCAGCUCGGGCCUGCUGAAGAAUGAAGACACAACAACAGGGGGAGGGAGAUCGGAAUGCUUCAGGAUCCUGAAAUAUGAUGUUAAACCUGAGCAUUUAUCCAAACAAGGUUAAGGUCCUGAAGCAUUGGAUCAGCUCAAUCGAAGAACAGUGUCCAGUCGAUUAUUGAACCUACAAAUAACCGUAGCAAUUCCACUAGAAUUUUGUGUGGUUAAGCCUGGAGUGAGUCACUAUGGCUGAGCAGGCAUCAAGUCAAGCAAAGGGGAUUUUAUGGUUGCAGCCGAGACCAGUGCUUAGGAGAAAUCGACUGGACAGAUGAAGUAUCCAUAUACGAGAUAAAACCAGUGACAAUCCAUCUAAUACCAUGGGUCCACAUGAUGAGAAGGAUAUUUGCAUACCAGGGAAAGCGUCACAUAAGAGGUCAUUUUUCUCAGUUUCAUAGGGGACGAAAGUUACUCUGUCUGCACCAUGUCAGGAGGGUGCUUUUGGAUGUCGACUUCAUUUAUUUCAUAUGUAAGGUAAGGAUUUAAAGGUCAAACAUCUCAUGCUUGGUUACUUUUCUGUGUAUGUAUGUUCCUUGCAUGGUUUUGAGUUUCGGAGUUAAUGGGGAUUAAAAUUGUACGUUUUUUGGAUUCUGAUUCAGUGAGAUGCUUAAAGAAUGAUAAUUUUUACUUCCAAACAAAUUUGAUGCUGACUUGUGAUAUAUUUCUCAGUUUCCUUACCCUUGUGUGUUCGGCUACCUAUUCUACAAGUUUUAUUGUAGGAAACCUCCAUUUAUAUUACUGAGUAGUUUACUCGAUUGAGCAGUUCACUCAAUCGAGGUUCAAGUGUUAGGUUAUCGUGGCGUAUCUUUUAGUUUCUAAAAUACACAUUGUUUGGUUCAAAUAGAGAUGUGUAGCAGAGACGUUCAAGCGGAAAAUGGCAAUUACUAACUACUAAGUAAACAAUCCAAAUGAUGUGCAUCAUGUAAUGAAGGUAAAGCUCUCUAUUUCCCAGAUUAGGGAACAGGGGAACUUAAGCUUAAGUUAGUUUUGCUCAUCACCUGAUCCUGCCACCGCGGCCCAUGGAGGCACUGUUGCAGGGGCCGCAGCUGCCACCAUUCCUGUCCAAGACGUACGAUCUCGAAGGCGAGCCGCAGCUGGACGGGGUCAUCUCCUGGGGUCCUUCGUCGUGUGGAAUCCUUCCACCUUUGACCGGGACGUGCUCCCGCACAACUUCAAGCACAAGAAGUUCUCCAGCUUCGUCAGCCAGCUCAACACCUACGUGUGUAUCGUAUCACUGUCCAAUCCUCUGUUCUCAUCUUUCUUUUCUUUUACAAUCUCUCACUGGAUUAUUAUUCAUGAUGCCGUCCUCUGCUGGGGAGGCACUCUGUUUCUGUUUGGUAUCUGGCACUCUGUUUCGGAUGCUCUAUUUUUGGUUUUGUUCCUUCUGGUUUCUGCUGAUGUACUCAACCCAAAUCUGUUGUGUGUAUAUAUAUAUAUAUAUACUCUUUGUACUUCCCUUCAUACUUUUAGUGAGAGGAGUUGUGGUUUGUAAUGCCAAUUUGGUGUUUCUUUUGUUAGCGGAAUCGUGGUCUGUAAUGCCAAUUUGGCCUUUCCCGAAAGAACUGGUUUAUCUUCAUCACUGAAAUAUUCCUGAUUCCUAAGGAGUUGAUCCUGUGAUGGCAAGCUUAACCAUUUGCUGGGAUGCGACGCUGCUCGCGCUCAAAUGUGAAUGAUUAUCUUUCGAGAUAUAUAGGAUUGCUCUAAGAUGCUUUAUGAGCCCCGAGUGUCGGAAAGAUGUGUAGUUUAUAGAUUGGAGAGAUUCUUUUCAAACUCAACCUGUGUCACGAGCUACUUGGUUACUUCUCAUUACUUGGAGGAUGCAUGGAUUGGAGAGAUUAUGGAUGAGGACUGAAUUAUGUGUAGCUAUGAUAUCUUCUAAUUUUGGUCAUAUGUAUCUUACAAGAAUUCCAGUAUACAUUUUGGUCACCUGUAUCAGAAUAAGGAUGCACAUUUAAUUAUUACAACCUCCAAGCCCAUCAUUUGGAUUUUUAUGCAGUUUCUUCUGAUGCAAAUAUUUAGUUCGUUGUGUAAUUCUAUUGGAUCAUCAUGGAUGAGGCCUGAAUAAUGUAUAGACAUGAUGGAUGCUCUUAUUCCUUA